GUUUUUAUCGCGUUUUAUAAUCGGUAAAAAAAAAGUGGUUUUUAAAGUAAUUUUAUUACAUUUCCGGAAGAAGAAGGAGGGGCCCGUCUUAUAAAGAAGAAGAUUGUGAUCAACAAGAGAGAAAAUUGGAAGUAAGAAAAGAAAAAUAAAUAAAAAAAAAAAGAGGGACGAAAAACAUAGAAAUCAUAGAGGGGAAGAAAAAGGUGGAACACUAAGAUCUCUUAUCACCAAAGGUCAAAUAGCAGUACUGCGGUUCAAUACUGAAAUACCGUAACCUUUUUUUUAAUUUAGGUUAUGUUUCUUUUUAAACAAAUACAGGGAUUAAAAUUAUGAAAAAUCUUAUCCAUG